AGGUUUUCAGUUUCAGUUUCCCAGAAAGGAGGUGGGCUUUUUUUUCACCCUGCUUUAAAAGCCCUUGGGCCCUUCCCAGCUGGGUGCCAGCCAACUGUGGCUGCCUGGGACACUCCAUCUUAAGUCCCUGUGCCUCUGCUGUGUGUUACUGAGUGCCUAGGCCGUGCCAGCCUGUAUUCAUCUGUACUAUGACCUGAAGAGGCAGAGGCCAUCACUGUUGGUCCGGUCUCCACCUGGGGAAACUGAGGUUGCACAGAAACAAGCUCCUACUUCCAGAAAAAGUGCUCCUGGGACUCCAGGAUACCAGGCAUCUGGACGCGGUGGUACAUGCCUGUAAUCCCAACACUUAGGCAGGAGGAUCACUCGAGCCCAGAAGAUCAAGACUAGUGUGAGCAACAAAAUCCUUCCCUGGCACCGGUUCCAGGAGGACCUCGUUCUUAGGCAGCAUCUGUGUCUCUG
rnacentral:lncRNA from 1 species